rnacentral:rRNA from 1 species
GAUGAACGCUGGCGGCGUGCUUAACACAUGCCAGUCGAACGGGAUCCAAGGGGUGCUUGCCCUUUUUGGUGAGAGUGGCGAACGGGUGAGUAACACGUGAGUAACCUUUCCUUUUCUUUGGGAUAAGCAUUCGAAAGGGUGUUUAAUACCUUAUGUUCUUUCUGCCUCGCAUGGGGUGGGUGGGAAAGGCUUUGGCCGGAGUUGGGUGGGCUGCGGGUCUUGAUGCUGGUGGGUGGGGUGAUGGCUGCCCAGGGCUUUACCGGGGAGCGGGGCGGAGAGGGUGGUGGGUGACAUUGGGACUGAGAUACGGCGCAGACUCCCGCGGGAGGCAGCAGUGGGGGAUAUUGCACAAUGGGCGAAAGCCUGAUGCAGCGACGCCGCGUGGGGGAUGAAGGCCUGCGGGUUGUAAACUUCUUUUGCUCUGAACAAGGCAUGCCAGUGGGUGUGUUGAGUGUAGGGGUUGAUAAGCGCCGGCUAACUACGUG